AGAGCGAACGCUGGCGGCAGGCCUAAUACAUGCAAGUCGAACGCACCUUCGGGUGAGUGGCGGACGGGUGAGUAACACGUGGGAACGUGCCUUUUGGUUCGGAAUAAUCCGGGGAAACCUGGCCUAAUACCGGAUGUGCCCUUCGGGGGAAAGAUUUAUCGCCAUUAGAGCGGCCCGCGUCUGAUUAGCUUGUUGGUGGGGUAAUGGCCCACCAAGGCUACGAUCAGUAGCUGGUCUGAGAGGAUGAUCAGCCACACUGGGACUGAGACACGGCCCAGACUCCUACGGGAGGCAGCAGUAGGGAAUCUUGCGCAAUGGGCGAAAGCCUGACGCAGCCAUGCCGCGUGAAUGAUGAAGGUCUUAGGAUUGUAAAAUUCUUUCAGCGGGAAGAUAAUGACUGUACCCGCAGAAGAAGCUCCGGCUAACUUCGCGCCAGCAGCCGC
rnacentral:rRNA from 1 species